rnacentral:rRNA from 1 species
GACGAACGCUGGCGGCGUGCUUAACACAUGCAAGUCGAACGGGAUCCGGGCUUUCGGGUUUGGUGAGAGUGGCGAACGGGUGAGUAACACGUGAGUAACCUGCCCCCUUCUUUGGGAUAACGUCGGGAAAUCGGCGCUAAUACUGGAUAUUCUUGCUGCAUCGCAUGGUGUGGUUUGGAAAGGGUUUCUGGUGGGGGAUGGGCUCGCGGCCUAUCAGCUUGUUGGUGGGGUGAUGGCCUACCAAGGCUUUGACGGGUAGCCGGCCUGAGAGGGUGUCCGGCCACACUGGGACUGAGACACGGCCCCGACUCCUACGGGAGGCAGCAGUGGGGAAUAUUGCACAAUGGGCGCAAGCCUGAUGCAGCGACGCCGCGUGAGGGAUGCCGGCCUUCGGGUUGUAAACCUCUUUCAGUAUGGAACAAGGAUCCUUCUUGUGGGGGGUUUGAGGGUACGUGCAGAAGAAGCGCCGGCUAACUACGUG